GUUGCAGGGUAUAGACCCGAAACCCGGUGAUCUAGCCAUGGGCAGGUUGAAGGUUGGGUAACACAAACUGGAGGACCGAACCGACUAAUGUUGAAUUAUUAGCGGAUGACUUGUGGCUGGGGGUGAAAGGCCAAUCAAACCGGGAGAUAGCUGGUUCUCCCCGAAAGCUAUUUAGGUAGCGCCUCGUGAACUCAUCUUCGGGGGUAGAGCACUGUUUCGGCUUGGGGGUCAUCCCGACUUACCAACCCGAUGCAAACUACGUAUACCGAUGAUUGUUAGCAGGGGUGACUCACGGCGGGUGCUAACGUCCGUCGUGAAGAGGGAA
rnacentral:rRNA from 1 species